rnacentral:rRNA from 1 species
GAUGAACGCUGACAGCAUGCUUAACACAUGCCAGUCAACUUGAAUUUGGGUUUUUAACUUAGGUUUGGGUGGCGGACGGGUGAGUAACGCGUAAAGAACUUGCCUCCCAGCUAGGGACAACAUUUGGAAACGAAUGCUAAUACCUAAUAUUAUGAUACUAGGGCAUCCUAUAAUUAUGAAAGCUAUAAGCGCUGUGAGAGAGCUUUGCGUCUCAUUAGCUAGUUGGUGAGGUAACGGCUCACCAAGGCGAUGAUGGGUAGCCGGUCUGAGAGGGUGAUCGGCCACAAGGGGACUGAGACACGGCCCUUACUCCUACGGGAGGCAGCAGUGGGGAAUAUUGGACAAGGGACCAAGAGUCUGAUCCAGCAAUUCUGUGUGCACGAUGAAGUUUUUCGGAAUGAAAAGUGCUUUCAGUUGAGAAGGAACAAAUGACGGUACCAACAGAAGAAGUGACGGCUAAAUACGUG